rnacentral:rRNA from 1 species
AAUGAACGCUGGCGGCAUGCCUAACACAUGCAAGUCGAACGAAGGCUUCGGCCUUAGUGGCGCACGGGUGCGUAACGCGUGGGAAUCUGCCCCUUGGUUCGGAAUAACAGUUAGAAAUGACUGCUAAUACCGGAUGACGACGUAAGUCCAAAGAUUUAUCGCCGAGGGAUGAGCCCGCGUAGGAUUCGCUAGUUGGUGGGGUAAGAGCGCACCAAGGCGACGAUCCUUAGCUGGUCUGAGAGGAUGAUCAGCAACACUGGGACUGAGACACGGCCCAGGCUCAUACGGGAGGCGGCAGUGGGGAAUAUUGGACAAUGGGCGAAAGCCUGAUCCAGCAAUGCCGCGUGAAUGAUGAAGGCCUUAGGGUUGUAAAGCUCUUUUACCCGGGAUGAUAAUGACAGUACCGGGAGAAUAAGCUCCGGCUAACUCCGUGCCAGCAGCCGCCGUAA